rnacentral:lncRNA from 1 species
GUUAGUUAAUAUUUGUAAGCAUACAGUGGAAUACAGUGCGGCCAUUUCAAUGGGUGAUGAAGGUGCAUAUUUAGUGGCAAGCAAGGAGCUUCACAAUAUAGCAUUUAGUCACAGAAGCUGACAUCAGGACAGCAGCCAUUUGAAAUAUACACGUGUCAUAAACAUGAUAAAGAAAAUAAUUCUCUGCUUACCUCGCUGAAUCCGGUGGCUUCCGGGUUUGAGGCCCCCUUUGUAUAGGAGGUGUCUACUCUCAGGAAAUCUUAAGGAGGCACGGUCCAGCUCAAGCGAGCAGUAGAAUCCGCAUCCCUUGCCUCCCCUUCCAGGCUUCUUCCUACGCCGCUUUGAGUAACCAUCGUGGAUCACUUAUGUUUGGCAGAGCCUGAGUGCCCUAGUUACCCUGGAAGGUUUGUUAACUAGUUGCGAUUUAAAGAAGCAUUCCCCCACACGAUUAAAACAAUAGGCCUUUGAAGUUUUUUCAGCUGAGAGGUAUCAACGAGUUCGAACCAUAACAUUUGAUUAAUCAACACAGAAAAUCAGUUCUAUUUAGGCCUGACAUCGAUGUUACAUCCUGACCCCAGCAGACGUGCCACAUUGUCAGUGACCCUAGAGUCUCAGGGUUUCUCAAAAUGUCAUCCCAAAGCCACCUAUAUGACGAUAAUCUGGAUGCCUGUUGAAUAUUGCAACAACCUCUACCUCGCCUCACACCUACUGAAUAAACAUUUCCAGGAGUAGAGCUUGGAAAUCCGCAUGUUAAUCAAACUUUCCAGAUUAUUCUAUGCAAACUACAGUCAGAGAGUGAAAUGUCUGUUGUUUAGGCCAAUAUUCUUUUUUCAGGAGACUGACCGUAACCAAGAGCCAGAGUAGUAUGAAUUGGUCUGAAGCUCCCCAGCUCCUUACCCUGCUGUCCAAGAUGGUGGAGGCGCCAGAGGCAGGGCA